rnacentral:Y_RNA from 1 species
GGAUGGUCUGAUGGUAGUGGGUUAUCUAUAAACAUUGGUGUCACUAAAGUUGGUAUCAACUCCCCACUGCUAAAUUUGACUAGCUUUAA